rnacentral:misc_RNA from 1 species
UCCUGCCCAGUGACAUAGUUCAACGGCCGCGGUAUCCUAACCGUGCAAAGGUAGCAUAAUCACUUGCCCAUUAAUUGUGGGCUAGAAUGAAAGGACCAACGAAAUAAAGACUGUCUCUAUAAGUUCAAUAAAAAUUAUUCUCUAACUGAAGAGUGUUAGAUUAGAUCGAAGGACAAGAAGACCCUAUAGAGCUUCAUUUUAAUAAAGACACACAACUUACUAAAAAUUCGGUUGGGGCGACCAAGGAUAAGUAAAUCAUCCUUCAUAAAAAGAUAUAUUAAUCCAUAAAUGACCCUUAAAAAAGAGCAUGAAAUCAAGCUACCUUAGGGAUAACAGGCUAAUCCUGCUAGAGAGUCCUUAUCAACAGCAGGGGUUGGCACCUCGAUGUUGGCUUAGGGAAACUAUACGACGCAAAAGUCCUAUAAAGAUGGUUUGUUCAACCAAUAAUACCCUACAUGAGCUGAGUUCAGACCGGCGUAAGCCAGGUUAGUUUCUAUCCACGAUACAGACCACCUGUCUAUAGUACGAAAGGACCUAGACAAGGAUAAUUAUUAUAAAAUAAGAAUAAAUAUAAAAAAUAUUAAACCUAAAACACUAUAUACUAUAAAGUGUGUUGGCAGAAUAGUGCCACCGACUUAGGAUCGGUUCAUGGGUAACCCCACUCACUACCUGCAACUUAGUUUAUUUAGAACAUUCAACUUGCACUUGAUAGGAGAGAGUCCUCAGUAGCGGCUUGACGUUUAGGAAACAGUAGACCUUGAACGUCUACAUAGGGUGUUCAAUUCAUC